ensembl:lncRNA
UAUUCCAGAGUUUUGGAGCCAAAUGUGAAAAAGCUCUAACUCCUUUAGUGGACUUUAGCAACCUUAGGGAUCAGGAUGGACUGUAGCAUGAUAGAAGACUAGUUAAGUACGCAGGAGCUAAACUGUAGGUGCCAGGUUUGAAUUGAUGUCUUUUAUUUUGAAAUUUUUACUUUCAGUUUGUUACGUCACUUGAAACAGGUGCAUAUUAUCUGUUAGUUUGCAUGUGGUUAGCAGGUAGGAAGGGGGUGAGCAGCUGGGAUGCUCACUUUCUGUUGACCGUUUUCAUUUAAUUUAGUUUCAUUUCAUUUCAUUGCUUCUUGCUUACUUUACUGUUAUUUCAAUGUUACAAUAAUCCACCAGGAUUUGCAGUGGAAGCGCGUCAUCCUUUACUCCCUCUACUCAGCCUCUUAGCGGUUACUGGCUGCCGCUAUAUAAACCAUUAAGGGCCUUGUAGACCACAAUUUCCAGUCAGCACUUAGGGAGACUGUAAAAUCUCGGCAACUAUUGGAACAGCCACUCCAACACUUCAGUUACAGACUCUCUAGGAUCUCCUCAAAUGCACAAGCAGUAAUGGGUGAGUUUUCAGAGUUACAAAAAAUGUUGUGAAAUACCAACUAUAAUUAAAAGAUACUAAAAAUACAAAAAAAAAAUAGAAUUAAAAAAAAUGUAAAAUGCAUUGUAU